rnacentral:lncRNA from 1 species
CACAGAUUCCCCCCUCUUGUCCUUUUACCUCCCUUGUACCCAAUCUUCCUUGCUUACAGAAAGGAAGUGGAAGCCCCCUACCUUUCAAGACGAAGUGGCACUACACCAGGAUGUGAAAGUCCAGCGAAAGAGACCCAAGGGGCCUAGGGGGCAGCACACCCCCAGAAGCCAAGUCUAUUCCAGGCAGUACCAGGGAUUAGGGUCUGGGCUGGAAAAAUCCUGGUGUUUUGAAUAUGUUCAGGUCCAGUUCAGACUCUUGAUCCCACAGCCACUUCUUGAGUGAGGGUAUCCUGUCUUGGUAGUGAAUGGAAGAGGGCCUGGUCCCUGGGGCAGUGCAGAAGGCACUUUCAUCAUCUCACUCACUGCAAAUGUCAUGUGAGGUUUCAUGGAAGUAUUAAGAGAUCCAAUUAAGAAGAAUAGUUCUGAGUCUAAACCAGCCCAGAGUGGCUU